UCGACGUCAACGAGACGGGAGACUCAACACCCGCCUAACAGAGACAUCUAUAAGAUCAACGAGGGGAUAGGUGACAAGGUGGGCAUGUUGAUCCAGUCCUUCACCACCUUCAUCGCUUCCUUCAUCAUCGGCUUCAGCAAAGGAUGGAGCUCACCCUUGUCAUCCUGCUGUCAGUCCUGUGCUGGGCUCUCUCUGCUUUUAUAUUCAGCAAGGUACUGACGUCCUUCACAUCCCUGGAGCAGAGUGCUUAUGCUAAAGCUGGAGCCGUGGUGAG